AGUACUUCUAUCACCCCGCUUGUAGUGCUGCGGGGCUUUUUUCCAGUCGGCUUCAGGCUUGCAAGCUGCCCGACUCGCCACGUCGGUUCAACAGGAGGCUGCGGUCCCCAGCAGAUUCCCGGUUUAGGACGGAGGACGUCCUGCCGUGACUCACGCUGGGAGACCCAGCAGCACAUGGGCUUACUCUCCCCUGGUUUCCAGAUCUGCCUCCCAGAAGGUAGCUGGGGUUGAUGCGAGCUUGGAUGUUGUGCCAGAUACCACAGUGCAUGACAGGACACUCCCUGGACAGGAUUGGGUUCAAAGACAUUGCAGUUCUUGGUCCAUGUGCACCAGCUGUUUGAUUCUGGAAACGCGCCAGACGUGACCUUGUGUUGGCGAUAUAUAAAGCAGGCUUGUGUGGUCUCUUCUCAUUUGUCCCUGUUUAAAUACUGUGUCCUGGUUUUGAUAUCCACAUAUUCUGUUGUUACGCUUUGAAAUUCUACAUUACUGUUCUGCUUCGCUUUGUCAUAUUGUCACCAUCCAAGAUCAUUAAACUAUUUUGAUGUGACCUUCACUCAUUGUCAUGCCUUGGCAGGUGGCAUCACUGGCUUCACCCAACUGAAGUAAAGGAACUUAAUUCCUGUGCCAACUUAGACACAACUGGCCUUUGACAGUAACUGAAGCUGCCUGCUUGUCAUAGCAGAGCAGUGGGCUGCGUAUGACCUCCGUGUUCCCGACCGCAGACAAUUACACACCUGAUAGGAGAUGUUUAGUUCCAUUAAGCAGCCACGUUACCGAGUGGCACAGAACUACCUGAGAUCUGCUGCCUGAACACCACGUUAUGCUUCCAGCGAACACUGCAUGUUUUCUCGAUUAGUCCACUGCUUUGCUUGUCAGCUCUAUGGGCCAGUUUUUCCCAGCUGUCCUCAGGGACUUCCAGACAAUCCACAUUUUUGCUCCCUCACAGCUCCCAGCCAAUCAAGAACACGGAAUACCUGGUUUUGAGAGCUCGGAGGGAGCAAAACGUGCAAAAACGCUGGUAUAGACCAAUGAGGUCUGGGGAUGUAAGAGUCAUCAUGUUAAUAGAAACAAUUUAAUGAACGAACUUACACCCUUCUUUCUUUGGGUUGUUGUCCUCCAGUAAGACCAGGCUGCUUGCUAACUAUUCUGUGGCAUACUGUCUGUACGUGUUUUACCUCAUCGCACCAUGUAAGGCUGUUGCUAAACCUUGGUUUCUGUUGUCCAUGAUGGGGGUUGCAUCCGUCAUCCAGAUUAAGUGAGUAAUCAAUGUUUGUAUAGAUAGUCAUCUUCUAUUGCAGAAAGCAGUUGUAAUAAUGUAUGUUGCAGGCCUACCUGGAAGGUACAGCGUUUGUGUUGCUAAGGGAUGCCAAAUGACAUUGGGAUGGUUUAUGUGUCAGAUGACAUGGGAUUCAUCUGCUGAGAUGGUGGAAAGAGUGUCUCUCAGAUCCAGCCCUCCUGCUACCAGUCAUCCUGCCCCAAAUAUGAGUGAAAUAUGGUAUCUUGCAGGACAUGAUGUUGACGACAGUAGUAUGUGUCUUCUGCGUUGCCAAGUUAAGUUAGCUUUCAUUCCAACGCCAGUGACAUGCAAUCAGUCAUGUAGAGUCACGUUCUCUGUUGCCUCCUUCAAAAAGUAAAAAUGGGUAUUUUGAAACCUCUCUUGAAAAAAGCUGCAAUUGGCGCCCAUCCAUUUUCCAUAGCUGCUUAUCUACUGAAGGGUCGUGGUGAGACUGGAGCUUUUCAAAGAAGCAAUGGGCACAAGUCAGGGCAGCGCCCAUCACGAGCAACGCACUCACAUACUAUGGGCAGCGGAAAGACAAUUAACUGACUUUGAGAUGACUGCAAGACCUGCAGGAAACUCACACAAAUACAUGUAAAACUACACUACAGCCUUGCAGAAGUGAGGUCACUGUGCCACUCCAGAAGUGCAAUUACAUCAAUAACAAAGCACACCGUUGUCAGUCAGA